UGCAGAAAGGGAAGUCCAUAGUACAAUCUCUUGAAUUCUAAUUCAUCUAGUGAAUUAUUGUCAAUCAUUUACAAUUAAUAACAAAUUUCAACAUUAUGGACAAUAUUCAUUUUACAAUUUUUAGUGUUUUUUGUGAUCCCUAGCUAUCAAAACUUCUUCGGCAAAUUAUAAAACUUUAGUUAUUAAAUUUAAAUUAAAUGAACCUACUUUCAGAAUCUCAUGCUGCAAGAAAUAACAUGAUGACUUAAUCUGUAUAACCAUUGCAACAGCAAAAACCAAGCAGAUGCGGCAAAAAGUCGAGGUAUUUACUGAAGUCAAACUUGCAUGCAUUAUGUCUAAAACAUCUCACCUUGAGUUCCUCAAGAGAAAAUCCCCUUCCAGCUCUGACUUUCAUAUUGUACUUUAGGGUCUGGCCAUGAACAAUAGGACGAAGAGGUCCAGCUGUAGGCCUAGGGAAGACCUUCACAGCCUUCUUUUGUCUUGCUGAAAACAUAUCAAUCAAACAAGAACCAAUCAAGCCAUCGAUCAAAUAUUUAGAACAGGCAAUUAAACAAGCUAACCUUCCAGAGAAUUUGCAACUCCCUUAAAAUUUUUCACCACCAAUUUGUGCAAAUCCUCACCGGCCCAUAUUGGGUAAACACAUAUAUUUACAAGUAAACAAACACCAGCUCCAACUGCAAUUAACAGCAAUCUAGAAACGGCCGUUUGAACAAAAUGGGAACUUCCAGAAACCAAUACAAUACAGAAGGUCAACAAGAAAACCCGGAAUCCAUAUUCAUAAGACUUCAUUGGAGGGUACAACUUCAAAUAAGUCGCACAAAAUCCUAAAAAGCAGAAACAUUUAGAGAUCAAUCAAUUGAAAUUUUCGUUAUCAACAAAAAGAAAUGCAUCUAACGGCUUCUUACUGACACUAACACAUCUUAUAGAAUUCUUCAUUAUGGAAAAAACCUGCAAUAAAGAUGCUGAGAACAAUUACAACUUCUUGCAAUUGUCCUACCAACUCUGACAAUUCAGCAAUGCCCAAAGCUAGUGCUCCAGCGGAUAAUGUCCCAAGUGCUCGAUUAAAUCCUUUAUUUAGCGUAGCCCCUACAUAUAUGCACCAACAAAUCCAACAUACAUGUUCAUGGAUCAAAUCGUGCAGAUCAAAUAAAGAAAAAAAAAAAAAACGUAAGUUCAUUACACUUUUCUUACCUAUGCUAAAUUCAAAUACUACAACAACGGUGAGGAUAGCCCAUAUAGAGUAUUGACCAAUAUAAUUCAAUGGUUCUCUGAAGAAAAUGAGAAGUGAAACAAAGGAGAGAGUAAGACCCAUUUUAGCUGCAAACACCACUUUUCUUGGAUCAGACCAACCCAUUUCAUACGCCUUGAGUGCAGCUUGUUGAAACUCACUACAAGAUUUGGCAACUCUGUCACAAAUAGAUAGAAAAAACCUUUGCCAACAACCUUCAUGGCGACCAAAUCCUCUGUUGUCUGAAUAUCCUUUACUGGGUAACAAUGUUUCUUUGCUUCUUUCUGCAAAGCUUUGUGCCAUUUCUUUGAUAACACUUGUUUUCUGAUGUACUUCUCUUAAAAAAAAAUAAACAAAGAGUUAAUUAUUGAAGCGUGUAGAGGUCUGAGUUAUUUGUUCUGAAAGGCCAAUAUUUUAACUUAUCUGGAUGAUUGGAUCUCGACAGUUCGGGGUGGUUGUACUUUUGGAGUGGGGUCAUGGAUCCCUUGUGAUGAAAGGAUUGUGGUGAAUCAUUAUCGUAAAUGAAAUGAAUGGGAGUCGCGUGUCAUGAUUUACCUUUUAUGCACUUCUUGUAUUAAUAAGUUUAAAAGUUAAUUAUUCAUAUUUGACUAGUUUAUUUGAGAAUGAUUAUUAAUACAAAUGUUGCUAUAAAAAAAUAUCUUUGCUGAUAAAAGAUUGAUAAUCACAAACAGAUUGUAUUGCAAGAAAAACAUAUUAAUAAAAAUAAUGCAAAAUCAAAUUUACUUUUAUGACGUCAUUUGCAUAAUGGCACUAUAAAUAAUUAAUUAAACCCAUAUUUCACUUAGAUAAAAAGAGAAUUAAUUUUUUAAUAGAUUUCAAUAAAAAUUGAUGAAUGUAAACUUAUGAAAUGUAUAACUAAAAUUAAUUAUUAUUUUUGACUUUUAUUUUAAUCUAAUUUUUUAAAUAAACCAACAGCAGCUAAGAAAGAGACAAGAAUUUCGAAGAAAAGCUUGUUCACUAAUUACAGGUAUGUAUCAGAAAUUGAAAAUGGGCUGCUAAUUUUCAACUUGCAAAAUACUCAGACCAUGCAAUAAAAGAGCAUGUUCUUAUUCUUGUUUACGUACGAAAGAGAUGCAAUGAACAAGACUUUCUUCACACCACACCUGCACUUGAUACUGCUCAGGCUUGAAGCCUAUUCCUUUCUUCCAUCGUCUUGAUUAAAAGGAUAAAAAAUAGAAACAGGACUAGAGGAAAAUGCAAAUCCACGUGAAAUGAUGACACGACAAAAUUUUAAAAUUCAUACAUUCAACUGGCAAUAUAAUAGCUAGAAUUACCGAUUCAAACAGAAUAAAGUAAAUAAUUCCAAUUUCAAAAAGCAGAGUUGAUUCAGAUAUCCACUGUCACUAAAACUCGCUAUUUCUUCUCUUCCUUCUCAGCCUCAGCAGCCCUCUUGGCCCUGACACCAACAUGGCGCUUAUUUGUUCGCUCAAUACGGAGCUUGUCAUAUGCCUUGAACGACUUCAUUUCGUCUGUAACCUUCACAAGCUCAACAGUUGGCUUCUCACGAACUAUUGGCAAGUAAGGACCUUGUACUUGUGUGGCAGUUGCCAACUCCUCGGGAGCAGAAUCACCCGCCUGCAAAGAGGAAAAGUAUUCUUGAACUGUCCUAUAUAUUAAAAGGGAAGGAUUUUUGUUCAGAAAGGUAUGUGUACCUUGAAUUUUCGAGUGCGUCUUGGGAAGACAACUAAUUUGGCUUUGUAUGUCUUCAGCCUCUGAACAUUAGUUUGGAAACCCUCCAAGGAACUGUUCCUACGGCGAUGAUCAACUGCAAUGCCAAUGGUUGGUGCAUAUUUCUUUGGGAUUCCUGCAGCCUGUUUGCUCCAUUAAGAAAGAUGUUAUUACGCCACAAGUAGCAUUCAAAAGACCACACACAAAGCAACAGAGUGAUAACUGACAACUAUUGCUGCUAAUAAAGUGCAGAAAGGGAAGUCCAUAGUACAAUCUCUUGAAUUCUAAUUCAUCUAGUGAAUUAUUGUCAAUCAUUUACAAUUAAUAACAAAUUUCAACAUUAUGGACAAUAUUCAUUUUACAAUUUUUAGUGUUUUUUGUGAUCCCUAGCUAUCAAAACUUCUUCGGCAAAUUAUAAAACUUUAGUUAUUAAAUUUAAAUUAAAUGAACCUACUUUCAGAAUCUCAUGCUGCAAGAAAUAACAUGAUGACUUAAUCUGUAUAACCAUUGCAACAGCAAAAACCAAGCAGAUGCGGCAAAAAGUCGAGGUAUUUACUGAAGUCAAACUUGCAUGCAUUAUGUCUAAAACAUCUCACCUUGAGUUCCUCAAGAGAAAAUCCCCUUCCAGCUCUGACUUUCAUAUUGUACUUUAGGGUCUGGCCAUGAACAAUAGGACGAAGAGGUCCAGCUGUAGGCCUAGGGAAGACCUUCACAGCCUUCUUUUGUCUUGCUGAAAACAUAUCAAUCAAACAAGAACCAAUCAAGCCAUCGAUCAAAUAUUUAGAACAGGCAAUUAAACAAGUAAAAGCCAAACAAACAUUAUACAAGUGAGCU
rnacentral:lncRNA from 1 species